rnacentral:lncRNA from 1 species
AAAGGCUUGGUGAAGUAGACAUCACUUGGAGAGGUGCAAAUGGAGAGCACAACCACAUCCACGUCAGCAUGGUAUUAUUCAAUUGGGAGGUGCAAUCGGAUGCUGGGAUUUCAUAUUGCCGCAAGCUGAUUCCAUUUAGAAAGAAAGGGUCUGCUAGAAUAUUAAAAGGUUGCGGUAAUUUCAGCUGGGAGAGAAAGACAACAAGCACAUACAACAUUGCUAUCCAGCAACACUACGACCCACAAUGCCAAUUGAAGCGGUGCAACGGGCUUCAACGCUGCAGCAACUCUUCAAGGCCACAUUCCAGCUGCAGCACUCACGAGCUGCACUCCACAUCUUCACACGACUUAAAGGAAGACCACCACGUCUAGCAAGCUGCUUAAGGAAAAUCAUGCUCCA